CAUACAUGCAAGUCGAACGAUAAGGUCUCUUCGGAGAUACAUAAGUGGCGGACGGGUGAGUAAUAUGUAGGAAAUCUGCCCUUGAGAGGGGGACAACAGAGGGAAACUUCUGCUAAUACCCCAUAUGAGCGUACCUGAAAUGGUAUUCUUGAAAACUCCGGUGCUCAAGGAUGAGCCUGCAUCUGAUUAGCUUGUUGGCGGUGUAAUGGACCACCAAGGCGACGAUCAGUAGCUGGUUUGAGAGGAUGAUCAGCCACAAUGGGACUGAGACACGGCCCAUACUCCUACGGGAGGCAGCAGUAGGGAAUUUUGCGCAAUGGGCGAAAGCCUGAACCGCAGCAAUGCCGCGUGAACGUAGAAGCCCUUCGGGGUGUAAAGUUCUGUCAGUGGGGACGAAUUCUGACGGUACCCACAGAGGAAGCACCGGCUAACUCCGUGCCAGCCGCCGC
rnacentral:rRNA from 1 species